rnacentral:ribozyme from 1 species
UUUAUUCUCUGCGCUGCAAUGGGAUAGGAUUCAAUGGCACUUUGAGGGAUAAUGUAGGCACCCCAUAUCUACUCCUAUCCGGACGUCCCUGUUCGUGCACAGUGGAAACAUGUGUCAUCAAAUAUCCAAGUUUGGGUCUCCCGGGACACCACAAGAAUCUGGUCACCCUGCCAGUGAUCCUGCCCCAUGCAUCAACAGACUACG